rnacentral:lncRNA from 1 species
AUCAAGCGUUUUGGUGUGUCCGUUGAGGUGUGGUGACCAAGUUGUGUGUUGGUGUGACGUGCUCGUUGGUAUCUGUGGUGUGCGUUUGGUGUUGACGUACUUGGUGAAGUACUCGGUGACGUACUUGGUGAAGUACAUGGUGAUGUAUCUUCCGAGAGGUGGUAGGUUGAAGCCUUGACUCAGGGGAAGUUUAGCAAAGAUGGUUUCAUUGAGGAGGUCUGGAAAGAUUGCAGCUGUGUGAAGACAGUGAGCUCUGGUGCGGCCGGAUGGGAUCUAUGCCUGCGUGUUUGAUUCCUAAUCUUCAUAGAUAUCUAUCUAGA